AUGUGACCCCAGGAUAGGCGAGGUAACCCGCUGAGUUUAAGCAUAUAAAUAAGCGGAGGAGAAGAAACUUACAAGGAUUCCCCUA
rnacentral:rRNA from 1 species